rnacentral:misc_RNA from 1 species
GUGAGUCAUCGAAUCUUUGAACGCAUAUUGCGCCCUCUGGUAUUCCGGAGGGCAUGCCUGUUCGAGCGUCAUUACAACCCUCAAGCGCUGCUUGGUGUUGGGCGACCCAGCUUGGGCGCCUCAAACGUAGUGGCGGUGCCGGCUGGCUCCAAGCGUAGUACGCAUCUCGCUUUGGAGCGCGGUCGAGCGCUGGCCAGAACGACAACUUUUUCAAAGGUUGACCUCGGAUCAGGUAGGGUUACCUGCUGAACUUAAGCAUAUCAAUAAGCGGAGGA